GACGAACGCUGGCGGCGUGCUUAACACAUGCCAGUCGAACGGAAAGGCCCUGCUUUUGUGGGGUGCUCGAGUGGCGAACGGGUGAGUAACACGUGAGUAACCUGCCCUUGACUUUGGGAUAACUUCAGGAAACUGGGGCUCAUACCGGAUAGGAGCUCCUGCUGCAUGGUGGGGGUUGGAAAGUUUCGGCGGUUGGGGAUGGACUCGCGGCUUAUCAGCUUGUUGGUGGGGUAGUGGCUUACCAAGGCUUUGACGGGUAGCCGGCCUGAGAGGGUGACCGGCCACAUUGGGCCUGAGAGACGGCGCAGACUCCUACGGGAGGCAGCAGUGGGGAAUAUUGCACAAUGGGCGGAAGCCUGAGGCAGCAACGCCGCGUGCGGGAUGACGGCCUUCGGGUUGUAAACCGCUGUCGCCUGUGACGAAGCGUGAGUGACGGUAAUGGGUAAAGAAGCACCGGCUAACUACGUG
rnacentral:rRNA from 1 species